AAUCCCCUGCGGUGUUUGUUUUGGGCUAAACAUUCCUUGAACCAAUGAAUCAUCCUUGGUUGCGGCAAAUCAGGUGCUUUUGUGCGCGUCCUUCGCGGAUGUACCUACGGCGCUCUUGUUGCGACCCCUUGAACCUCAGGUUCAGGAUGAUGGCCCGGACGGCAUUCGCGGGGGACCC
rnacentral:other from 1 species